UUGAGUUCUGUUCUAGAGACACAACAACAGUGAGGAUUACAUACACAUCGGGCGGAGGCUGAGAGGAACUCAUCGUCACUUCAGCCUACCUUUCAUAUGAACCACCACUUUCCAAAGAAGUGAGGGACAUCGCUGACUAUUGCCAUCUUAGGAAAAUGCAGAUUAUCAUUGGGUGUGACCACAAUGCUCACCACAGAGUGUGGGGAAGCACUGACAUCAACCCAAGAGAAGAACGCCUCAUGGAAUAUUUGGCACAAUGCAUAUAAUGCCUUCACCCAGAUGGCUUUGCUAACUAGCUGCAUGACAGCAGGAGAGGGAAUGGAGAAACCAAGUCGCUUUUGUCCAUCUCUACAGGAUUACGUUAUAGUGUGCUGAAGGCAAGAAACUGGUGCAUUCCAAACCAUCUGCUGGUAAUGUUGGUGCUGCCACUUCACACCCUUUAGUGUCUUGUGGAGGGUGAAUAAGCAAAAUAUUAUUGUACAAUACAAAAAAACAUGGCUGAGCUGGUCAAAAGAAUAAUCAACAUUUUGAAACCCAUUCUAGCAAACAUACCAAUUUGAUUCAAGGAAACAUGAUGAAAUUCCUCCUACAUACACAUACACGGGAACUUGAAACCAAUACUAUAAAAUUUUACUGGUACUCUAUCAUUGUCACUUUGUUUCAGACAAAUUAAGUUUGGAAUGAUUUACAUGCCACUUGAAAACAGACACAGACUUACCAAAUGUCAAGAAAAUCGCCUGUGAGACUAAUCUCUUGUUAUUCAUUUUACAGCUGCCUUACUUGCAUCAGCAUUACAUUGUCUUGCAGCUUCAGUUCUAAACUAGCAACCUACCCAACACAUCAACUGUAAUCAGUGUGUUGGUCAACCAAUACAUUGGCAAACUUGUCAAAAACUGUACAUCUGCCACUGCAUUGCAAAUUUCAACCUCCAGCCUAAAACAGAGCACAACAGUAUUAGCAAACAUAUUUUUGGAGAAGAAAAAGCGCAUUUACUGUAACUAAGUUAGCCACAUGUAGUACAAAUGGGAAGAAAUGCUCAACAUAACUAAGGAACACAAAUGUCAGCCACACAGGUGUAUCACACAGACAACAACUUCAAUUAAAUCAAGAUAUUUCAUCUUUAUUGGGCAAUUCUUUUAAUUACAGCUUACAAAGCAAAAAGAAGCCAAUAUAUAGUAAUUAUUACGGGCGUGCCGUUGAGUAUUGUGGUCGGACAGUCCUUGAUAUGCAUUUCCGACAUCGGUGGCGGCAACAGUCACGAUAAAACAUAUAUAUCAUACAUUUUAUUAUAAUAACUUCUCUCAUACUAUGUCAUGCCAUAUGUAUUUUUACAUCACAAUUCAUGUGACAUUUUCCUAUUUCUCUUAAUCAAUAAAAUCUCAGUAAGUAUACAACUAUGCCUACACUAGCAAUAAAAACAAGCCAAGUGAUCUGUAGGGGGAAGUGCA